AUUUUUCAUACUAGAAGCAAGGAGAUUGAAAAUUAUUCACAGGAAAAACAGUUUGUUUUGAGGCAAACAAAAUCAACAUUCAAUUAAAUAAAAAAGAGAGUUAAGGAAUUUACGUGCUUUUCCAUGCAUUGUAAGAUUUCCAGAAUAUAGAACAUGUAGUUCCUGAUAAAAAAAAAACAACAAAAGAUUGCUACGAUAAAACUGUUGAGUAACUAUUUGUAAUACAGAAUGCAUCAAGAUGGUGGUAUGCUACAUAUAUAAUAUUGAUACUAUGACAGAUGAUUAAAGAAACUGAAGACAUAACCAAAUGCUGAAGUCAGCAAAGAUUAAGAUAUAAGGAGUAGAUAUUUUCCUGAAGAUCUCAUUUAUGUCUCGAAUGUGAAUGGAACAGAAGCUAUCAUGAUGAUUCUUUAAAGAAAAGAUACAGAAACACAAGCUCCUGUAGACACUUAUGAAAAAGAAGAAGAUGUUUUUGCAAUGAAUAUGUGUGAAUGUGAUAAAUUAUGGCAAAUCAACAUAGUCAAUUAACAACAAUAUGUUCUACAAAUUUCCUAGAUUUAUAAGUUUCAUAACAUUUAGUUGAGGCAAACUAAAGUUAGAUAACGGAAAACAAAAAAAAUUGCAAAUAAA